rnacentral:rRNA from 1 species
AUUGAACGCUGGCGGCAGGCCUAACACAUGCAAGUCGAGCGGUAGAGAGGAGCUUGCUUCUCUUGAGAGCGGUGGACGGGUGAGUAAUGCCUAGGAAUCUGCCUGGUAGUGGGGGAUAACGUUCGGAAACGGACGCUAAUACCGCAUACGUCCUACGGGAGAAAGUGGGGGAUCUUCGGACCUCACGCUAUCAGAUGAGCCUAGGUCGGAUUAGCUAGUUGGUGAGGUAAAGGCUCACCAAGGCGACGAUCCGUAACUGGUCUGAGAGGAUGAUCAGUCAGACUGGAACUGAGACACGGUCCAGACUCCUACGGGAGGCAGCAGUGGGGAAUAUUGGACAAUGGGCGCAAGCCUGAUCCAGCCAUGCCGCGUGUGUGAAGAAGGUCUUCGGAUUGUAAAGCACUUUAAGUUGGGAGGAAGGUCAGUAGCUUAAUACGUUGCUGAUUUGACGUUACCGACAGAAUAAGCACCGGCUAACUCUGUGCCAGCAGCCGCAGUAACAC